ACCUUCUAAAUAAUUCCGUCGCAACUGAUUUGAUUUGAAUUGCAGGAUCCCAAAAAGAGGCAGGUAAGUUAAACAUAUAUUUGGUAAUAAUGUUGGAUUUAAUUUUAUUCUCUGUUCUGAAAGUGGAGGAUUAAAACUCCCUCUUGUGAUGAAGCUGCUGUGAUACAGUCAAACAGAACAGCAAGAAGAUUGUUUUCUCAACUGCUGGUUCCAAGGUCAAGAAUAAGCUUCAAACCUCCAUGUGGAUCGACCUUUUUUCUCCUUGUGCUGGGUUCUGAAGCAGAGCCCGUCAAUGAUGAUGACCACUGAACUCUUCAUCGUCUCCCUUGUGGUUCUCCUGCUGGCUGUGAUGGUGUUGCUGCUCCUCUGCUGGGUCCUCAGAAACAGCCGAAACAGUGACGUCACAGAGAUGCAGAUCUCUGCAGGGGAACCCGCCCGCGUCCUGACCAUCAGAACCAAGUCACAAUUCGCCAACCAGCUGCUGGACAUCGUGCUGGAUCGAGUCAUCCUGCAGGUGGAAUCCGAACCACAAACGGGGGAGGAGCCGCAGGUGGAAAGUGAAAUGGAUCCUGGGGAGCAUCUUCGAGGAGAAAGAGGUUCAGGUCCCAUGAAAGCUGUGAACAAUCUUGCGUCAAAACUGCAGAAAUGGAUGACUGCAGGGGAUAAAAACACUGCUCGGACGGAUGCACCCGAGCACGCCGCUCUCCCCUCGGAUGGCGCCUCCUGCAGUGCGUCGAGGGAAGAGGAGAAACAACAGGAGUCCCAACUUUAAUAAAGGCAGUGACUGCAGGAUAAAGGGCUUCCGUUCCGAUGCGCGGCGAUGCGUCAGUCCGCCUGCAGGGGGAGGGAUGGAGCCGCUGGUGCAGCAGGCGGCGGCUGAUUGGACCGACACGCGGUCGGCGAUUGGUUUGUGGGAGGGAUUAAGCUGCAGGCUCCUCCCAUUCAACUUUCCAACUGAGGGGGCGGAUAACAUCUAAACAUCUGUGAUGUGUUGAGUUUCCGUGAGGGAGACUCACGCCGACACAAAGGACACAAAGGAAGUGAACUCGGUUUUUCUCUAUAAUCGGAUUUUCCAUGUCGGCUCGUGCCAGAAAACGGGGGGGUCGAGGGGGGGUUGAGGGGGGGCAUGACAAAUGAUCAAUGAUACUUAUGCAGAACAUGAGAUAUAACCUUCACAAUUUGACUGAACAAGCAAAUGAUGUGACAGUGAAAGUUCUGACCCGCCCGUCGGUCAUUUGUUGAAGUUAACGCGUUACCGUAGCGACGGAGUGUGAGGCUGACAUGGUACAGAUGUGUUCACAAGGCCGAACUGAACUGACCGGGACCAACGAAGGGACCUUCACGUGUCCAGAACGCACCAAUGCUGCAUCUUUAAGUGGUGCACGCACCUGCUGAUUCGUUUUUGAGGAUCCAUGUUGUCAUUUAGAAGAUGGAUGAUAGCUCACACGUGAACCGACUUUAACACUCAGCAGCUGAUUGACAGUGAAUAUUACGGUGGUGGAAACAAUGGAUUGAAAGUGCGUCGUUCAGGUGAAGGCAUGCGACUUAAACUAGUCCCUCCUUAUUUAAACUGCUGUCUUUGGUUCGUUAAUACUUUUGGUAAACUCUGUCUUAGUUAGCCAGCUGUUGAUAUCUCUAAUAUUCAAUAUAUUGUCCUAAAUAAAAGACGCAUUCCUAGUUGCAUCAUUUUGAAGUUAGUGAAUAAACUAAAAAUGUAUAUAAUUCAUUCAGUUUGUGUCGCCUGUGUUUGUGUGUUGGUUAAGCUCAUCCUUAAUAUUUCAUAAUUUUAUGCUUGUUUUUUACAUACAUACACACACAUGUACCUUUCAUAACUGUUCCGUCUUGACUGAACUGCUUCAUGAAGACAAACUGUGUCUUUUGGUUCAAAC
ensembl:lncRNA